UUUUUUACGGAGCCUUACCCGUGCAGCCGAGCGGUAGAGAUCUUUCGGGAUCUUGAGAGCGGCGUACGGGUGCGGAACACAAAGUGCAACCUGCCUUUAUCAGGGGGAUAGCCUUUCGAAAGGAAGAUAAAUACCCCAUAAUAUAUUGAGUGGCAUCACUUAAUAUUGAAAACUCCGGUGGAUAGAGAUGGGCACGCGCAAGAUUAAAUAGUUGGUGAGGUAACGGCUCACCAAGUCUGCGAUCUUUAGGGGGCCUGAGAGGGUGAUCCCCCACACUGGUACUGAGACACGGACCAGACUCCUACGGGAGGCAGCAGUGAGGAAUAUUGGACAAUGGGUGCGAGCCUGAUCCAGCCAUCCCGCGUGAAGGACGACGGCCCUAUGGGUUGUAAACUUCUUUUGUAUAGGGAUAAACCUACUCUCGUGAGAGUAGCUGAAGGUACUAUACGAAUAAGCACCGGCUAACUCCGUGCCAGCAGCCGCGGUAAUACGGAGGGUGCAAGCGUUAUCCGGAUUUAUUGGGUUUAAAGGGUCCGUAGGCGGAUCUGUAAGUCAGUGGUGAAAUCUCACAGCUUAACUGUGAAACUGCCCAUUGAUACUGCAGGUCUUGAGUGUUGUUGAAGUAGCUGGAAUUAUGUAGUUGUAGCGGUGAAAUGCCUAGAUAUUACUUAGAACACCAAUUUGCGAAGGCAGGGUUACUAAGCAACAACUGACGCUGAUGGACGAAGCGCGGGGGAGCGAACAGGAUUAGAUACCCCUGGUAGUCCACGCCGUAAACGAUGCUACCUCGUUUUGGGUUUUCGGAUUCAGAGACUUAGCGAAAGUGAUAAGUUAGCCACCUGGGGAGUACGACGCAGUUUGGAAACUCUAAGGAAUUGACGGGGGGCCCGAAAAGCGGGGAUUAUGGGGGUUAAUUUCGAUGGAAUCGCGAGGGAACCUU
rnacentral:rRNA from 1 species